rnacentral:sRNA from 1 species
UUCCCCGCAGGGUAUGAGCCAAUAGACCCUGCUGCUUGCCCGGUACAUGCCAAGACAUGUACCGGGCUUUUUUU